CGGGGGUUCAGUGCACGAGGUCCGAUAGUUAACUACCAGCUCAGUCACAGGAUGAAAGCCCAGAUCGGGCAGCCAUCAAGUCACUCGCGGUCAAUAUCCACCUGACCUCUGUGAGACAGACAGAGGAGACAGAGUGAAAACAGAGG